GAUUGGAACAUCUACUUUUGAUAAUAUGUUUCACUCUUUUGAAUCAGUUUUGGGAUAGAAUUCAGAUAUCCGAAUAUGAACUUUUUAAGUUCAGGGGUCAUCUUUUGCUUUUGAGGUCUAACAGAAAUUGCAGCAAUCUUAUGAUUCAAUUUCACUUUAGAAUGAGGAGAGCUUUUCGAAACAAUGACUGAUUAUUGGUUAUCUGAAGGUGAGAGAAAUAUCAAAUUUUUUUCAUAGCAGGUUGAAAACAGAAGAAAGAAAUUUGUUGUAAGCUCUUUGAUUGCUUCCCUUUGGGAUUAUAGAUAAGUAUAUAUUUCAAAAAAAAACUCUAUCAUUGAUCCUUCUGCCUUUUCUUCUGAUUAUUACUAAGUUAGUCUCGGAAGCCGACAAUGAAAUGCUCUUGGCCACACCUCCUAAGCAAGAGGUUAAGGAUGCUAUGUUGUCUAAUCCCACAUAUGCAGCCACUAGUGCAAAUGGUUCUUCUAGUGGUUUUUCUUUGAAUUGUUGGCCAAUUAUUUUUGAGGAUUUAUAUGCAGCCAACCCUGGAGUUGUUGCAUGGAGGGUCUUUUUCUUUUGCUUACACUUGUGCCCAAGUUAGAGAACCCUAAGAAAUCUACCGCCUUUAGACCCA